ACCUUUACACUGCACGCGAGUGCGAUAGGGGGACUCCAAGUGCGAGGGCAUACAGUCCUCGCUUUUUGCGACCGUAAGGAGGUCGCGGAAUAAGUGCUGGGCAAGACCGGUGCCAGCCGCCGCGGUAAUACCGGCAGCACGAGUGAUGACCGAUAUUAUUGGGCCUAAAGCGUCCGUAGCCGGCCAGGCAAGUCCAUCGGGAAAUCCGCACGCCUAACGUGCGGGCGUCCGGUGGAAACUGCUUGGCUUGGGACCGGAAGAUCCAGAGGGUACGUCCGGGGUAGGAGUGAAAUCCCGUAAUCCUGGACGGACCACCGGUGGCGAAAGCACUCUGGAAAGACGGAUCCGACGGUGAGGGACGAAAGCUAGGGUCACGAACCGGAUUAGAUACCCGGGUAGUCCAAGCUGUAAACGAUGUCGCUAGGUGUGGCACAGGCUACGAGCCUGUGCUGUGCCGUAGGGAAGCCGUGAAGCGGACCGCC
rnacentral:rRNA from 1 species